UCAAAGUUAAGGCCUUAAGAAAUCAGUCUU
rnacentral:piRNA from 1 species